AGCGGUCCUGUCGUGUGAGGUUUAGAUCCACUCUGACGGCAACAACAACACAAAACUCCCUAAGACUUCCUAGCUCUUCCAUCCAGAUAGCAAAAUUAUCUGUUUUACUGUUAUUCCUUGUUUUAUCUUUAUUAUUCUUCUUUAUGUAAAGCACUUUGAAUUACCAUUGUGUAUGAAAUGUGCUAUACAAAUAAAAUUGCCUUGCCUUGCCUUGCCUUGCCUUAUUGACCUUCAUGACCAAAUCGUUUCAGAAUCUUCACUGUAAAAAAUGAUUUUUUGAACUUGUAAAUAAAGAUAGCAUCAUUUAAGUACAUUUUACAAGCAAAUACUAUUUUGUCUUUUUACUUAAAAAUGUCACGUUUAAUCCAAUAAGCUACUUGAGGUUUCGUUUUCAUUUAUUGUGCUUAAAUACAUAAGUAAAUUAAAAUGGAACUGCUCAAGUAAUAUUUACUUAGUGUUUUGUCAUCUAAUGAACUACUGCAAAAAAAUAACAAACGCAAGUAAAACUUACUCCACGAAUCCAGGCAAUCUAUGCGCAUGCGUUCUUGGUCCCGAAGUGGCGCACAGCAGCAGAGGCGGAGGAAACCAACGGAAAAUUUUCUCGACGACUGAUGUCGACAUAUGUGACUUUUACACGAUUGCAUUCACCAUUCAAGCUCAUGCAAGAUGUGUACCCCAGCAAAGUUGCAAAUUGUUUUUGAAGAGAAUGACAUUCGCAAAUUGGUUCUGCCCUCAGGCAUCCCCAGUACUCUUCAGGACCUUAAACGUGUAAUCAAAGAAACAUUUGAUAUUCCAGACUGCUUUACUUUGAUGUAUGAAGACAUGGAUUUUACCAGUUUUCUACCUUGAGCUCAAUAGAUGAUGUACAGGAUAAAUGUACUAUAAAAGUGGUACAAACUGAACCCAUCACCCUGAAUCUGAGUGCUGUGGAAGAACCAAUCCUACAAAAUGAGUCUGACGCCAUAUCAUGCAGUUCUCAGGACACUGUUGUGCUAUGUCCUUCUGAAAAUGAGACUUCAUUCCUUUCUUUAGACUCCAGAUCCAGCAGUUCCCAAGACACUGUUCUACUAUCUUCGUCUGAGAGUUCCACAUCAUGCCGUUCUCAAGGAUGGCCAGCAAAGUUUAAAAUACCAACUUUCUCAUUUGAUACAGAGCUCUUGAUUUCAGAAGGAAACAAAGCCUACCAAAAGGAUGGCACCCUCUUGAACAAUCCAAGAGUAACAAGAAGUGUCCUUGAGACACUAGCAGGGACAAUAUUUCGUUUCACUGCGUACCCAACAGGUGUCCAGAUUAUGAACGUAGUAGAGAUGUUGAUUGAAAAGUACCCAUGCCUCAAAGAGCCAGGGUCAUUUAAUGGACAGUAUGGUUGGCAACAGAGGAUUAAAUAUAAGAUGGGCAGUUAUCGAGCAAAAUUAAGAGGCAGUCAGCUUUCCUGCCCAGAGCUGGAGGUCAACUCUUUGAAAAGAAAGAAGACAAAUGAAAACUCUUGCCCCAAAGGCACGAAACGCCCCAGGAAGGCUGAAGUAAAUUACUUGCCCCCAUUUCCAUUUGAGGAAACUGAGGAAACUUUAGAGAAGGAGAGAGUUGAUCUUCUUAAAGAAAUUCAGAAGAAAAACAACAAGAAGGUCAUCGGUGAGAAAAUGGAGAAGACUUUCUCCUAUCGAAGAUUAGAAAUCAUUAAUCACUGCCCUGCUGUCAAAGAUUUCAAGGAGGAUGGCCAGCUCUUUUUUGUGAAUCUGAGAUCAAGAAUGAGUUCAGAAGGAUAACCACAGUUCCCCUGGAGCCAACCUUUCUGCAAAAACUGGACCUCUACGCUCCAAAGCUCCUGGAUUUGUUUAAAAAGAAGGGUGGGGAUGCAGGCAUAAAAAUUAGAAGUGUGCUAGAUUCACUCUGCCAGCAAGUUAAGAUAAGAUAAGCGAGAUGCUGUGAUUCGCUGCCUGCUUUCCUACCUGGGAGAAUCAUCUGAGGAGCUCAUUGAAGACUACCAGGAUGUGAGCAGAGACAUGAUUAAAGAUGGCUUCACCAAUCAUGUAAUGAAGAUCAUUGUACUGGGCAGCACUGCAGGAGAGGAAGAUGCCAACAUAGCUGACGUCAUCAUCGUCAUUGAGGGAACUGAGGUACUGUCGGGAUGUAAGAACCUCACAAAUGCGUGCCUCAUGCUCAUGGGCUUCAUUUACUCCCUGAACUUAAGCUAUCCUUCAAAGCUGAGAAACACAUUUGAAGUGUUUCAGAAAAUCUUCCUUGGGCUGGAUGCUUUAAAAUUUUCACCAAAGGUUAGCUCUUUGCAGAGAAAGCUACUGAUAUAAGUCUGUUGGCCAUUUUGUUUGGUACUCGCACUUUUUUUAUUUGCUCAAUUGUUCUUCAAGUGAGAAUGUCCUCAAAAGUUUGAUUAAUGUAAAUAUGAGCAAAGUUUGUACUGUACUUUGUACAUUUUUGUCCAUUUGUUUUUUUAUUCCCUUUG